rnacentral:lncRNA from 1 species
UGGAGGACUGAAAGCACUUAUUUAUAAGUGGAAAUUUUAAAGAUUUAUAGAUAUAAGAAGAUGGUGCAUGAGUUCAAAUGAGACAACUUUCCAUCAAAGUAAUAAUUUGUUUAAAGUAAACCAUUAUAGAUCAAAGUAGGUCCUUAAAUACGGAGCCUUGGCUCACAGCGAACACCACGCUAUAUAGGAACAAGAACAUUGCUAGUGUUAAAGCAUUCAAACAGGAAAACCAACGGUCUAAUUUAAAAAAAAAAAAAAAGGAGAUUCAAAAGUACAGCUCAAUCAUUUUGAUACUUAGCUAUUUGAUUAUUUGAUUACGGC